ACUCAAAGGAAUUGACGGGGACCCGCACAAGCGGUGGAACAUGUGGUUUAAUUCGAUGAUACACGAAAAACCUUACCAGGUCUUGACAUACUAGUCGUACGGCUAAGAAACUAGCCGGUCAGUUCGGCUGGACUAGUACAGGUGUUGCAUGGUUGUCGUCAGCUCGUGUCGUGAGAUGUUGGGUUAAGUCCCGCAACGAGCGCAACCCCCAUUUUUAGUUACCAUCAUUUAGUUGGGGACUCUAGAGAAACUGCCGGUGAUAAGCCGGAGGAAGGCGGGGAUGAUGUCAAAUCAGCAUGGCCCUUACGGCCUGGGCUACACACGUGUUACAAUGGUGACUACAAUGAGACGCAAUAGGGCGACCUUGAGCAAAUCUUAAAAAGUCAUCUCAGUUCGGAUUGCACUCUGCAACUCGGGUGCAUGAAGUCGGAAUCGCUAGUAAUCGCAGAUCAGCAUGCUGCGGUGAAUACGUUCUCGGGUCUUGUACACACCGCCCGU
rnacentral:rRNA from 1 species